AAAAAAAAAAAAAAAAAAAGAAUUCUCAUCUCCAUAUUGAAGGUGAAGGUUCACUUAACAACCUUCUUCUCCAUAUUUCUUCCCUCCCCCAGUUUAAGUGCUGUGGGGCUGCUAACUACACAGAUUGGGAGAAAAUCCCUUCCAUGUCGAAGAACCGAGUCCCCGACUCCUGCUGCGUUAAUGUUACUGUGGGCUGUGGGAUUAAUUUCAACGAGAAGGCGAUCCAUAAGGAGGGCUGUGUGGAGAAGAUUGGGGGCUGGCUGAGGAAAAAUGUGCUGGUGGUAGCUGCAGCAGCCCUUGGAAUUGCUUUUGUCGAGGUUUUGGGAAUUGUCUUUGCCUGCUGCCUCGUGAAGAGUAUCAGAAGUGGCUACGAGGUGAUGUAGGGGUCUGGUCUCCUCAGCCUCCUCAUCUGGGGGAGUGGAAUAGUAUCCUCCAGGUUUUUCAAUUAAACGGAUUAUUUUUUCAGACCGAAAAGAGAGAUGGUCUGAGUUUGUCUUA
rnacentral:sRNA from 1 species